rnacentral:rRNA from 1 species
GAUGAACGCUGGCGGCGUGCCUAAUACAUGCAAGUCGAGCGAACAGAUGAGGAGCUUGCUCCUCUGACGUUAGCGGCGGACGGGUGAGUAACACGUGGAUAACCUACCUAUAAGACUGGGAUAACUUCGGGAAACCGGAGCUAAUACCGGAUAAUAUAUUGAACCGCAUGGUUCAAUAGUGAAAGACGGUUUUGCUGUCACUUAUAGAUGGAUCCGCGCCGCAUUAGCUAGUUGGUAAGGUAACGGCUUACCAAGGCAACGAUGCGUAGCCGACCUGAGAGGGUGAUCGGCCACACUGGAACUGAGACACGGUCCAGACUCCUACGGGAGGCAGCAGUAGGGAAUCUUCCGCAAUGGGCGAAAGCCUGACGGAGCAACGCCGCGUGAGUGAUGAAGGUCUUCGGAUCGUAAAACUCUGUUAUUAGGGAAGGACAAAUGUGUAAGUAACUAUGCACGUCUUGACGGUACCGAAUCAGAAAGCCACGGCUAACUACGUG